AUUGAACGCUGGCGGCAGGCUUAACACAUGCAAGUCGAGCGGUAGGGACCUUCGGGUCCUGAGAGCGGCGGACGGGUGAGUAAUACAUAGGAAUCUGCCUGGUAGUGGGGGAUAGCCCGGGGAAACCCGGAUUAAUACCGCAUACGCCCUACGGGGAAAGGAGGGGAUCUUCGGACCUUUCGCUAUCAGAUGAGCCUAUGUCGGAUUAGCUAGUUGGUGAGGUAAAGGCUCACCAAGGCGACGAUCCGUAACUGGUCUGAGAGGAUGAUCAGCCACACUGGGACUGAGACACGGCCCAGACUCCUACGGGAGGCAGCAGUAGGGAAUAUUGGACAAUGGGGGGAACCCUGAUCCAGCCAUGCCGCGUGAGGGAAGAAGGUCCUCUGGAUUGUAAACCUCUUUUGGCAGGAAACAAACCUGCGCUAUACGCGCAGCUGAGGGUACCUGCAGAAUAAGCACCGGCUAACUCCGUG
rnacentral:rRNA from 1 species